GUAUUCGGGUAAUCGAGCGGUUAUGACCGUUAGGAAAGUCCUUGCUAGCACUGGCUGAGAUGCCAGUAGUGUUUAUGCCUAAUGAAAAAAUAAAUUAGGGCACUAGAGAUAGUGACGGCAAAGCUGACCCUGAAAUGGCAAUGCUUUAUAAAGUGCCACAGAGACGAGUAAUUCGGAAACGAAGGAAAUGGAACGGGUAAACCCCUUAAGCUAGAAACCCAAAUUUUGGUAGGGGAACUUUCAAUGAGGAAUAAAACUCAGCGAAGGCGAAGUUAUCUUCGAGAUAAAUGAUUACCGCCAAGAGUAAUCUUGGUACAGAACAAGGCUUAUAGAA
rnacentral:RNase_P_RNA from 1 species